rnacentral:rRNA from 1 species
GACGAACGCUGGCGGCGUGCUUAACACAUGCAAGUCGAACGGAAAGGCCCUGCUUUUGUGGGGUGCUCGAGUGGCGAACGGGUGAGUAACACGUGAGUAACCUGCCCUUGACUUUGGGAUAACUUCAGGAAACUGGGGCUAAUACCGGAUAGGAGCUCCUGCUGCAUGGUGGGGGUUGGAAAGUUUCGGCGGUUGGGGAUGGACUCGCGGCUUAUCAGCUUGUUGGUGGGGUAGUGGCUUACCAAGGCUUUGACGGGUAGCCGGCCUGAGAGGGUGACCGGCCACAAUGGGACUGAGGUACGGCCCAGACUCCUACGGGAGGCAGCAGUGGGGAAUAGUGCACAAUGGGCGGAAGCCUGAUGCAGCAACGCCGCGUGCGGGAUGACGGCCUUCGGGGUGUAAACCGCUUUCGCCUGUGACGAAGCGUGAGUGACGGUAAUGGGUAAAGAAGCACCGGCUAACUACGUG